ACAAAAACAUAGCCUCAUGAGUAUAAUAUUAGGUGAGCCCUGCCCAGUGAAGUUUUAACGGCCGCAGUACCCUGACUGUGCUAAGGUAGCGUAAUCAGUUGGCUUUUAAAUGGAGUCGAGGAUGAAGGGGUCCAUGGGGGAGAGCUGUUUCUAAGUUGUUUUGUUGAAUUUAUUUACCGGGUGAAAAUCCCCGGUUAACGAAAAAAGACGAGAAGACCCUUAGAAUCUUUAUAAAUAUACAAUAAAGUAUUUGUAUUAAAUUUUUGUUGGGGCGACAACGAGGCAAAAUGCUCAUAAACCCUCGAUAAUAAAAUAAACAAGACGAGACUGAUAAGCAAGAGUAGAUUACCUUAGGGAUAACAGCAUAAUUUUUUUUUAAGCUUGUGACCUCGAUGUUGGACUAGGGACCACAAGACUAGCCGUCGUGGUGGCGAGAUCUGUUCGAUCUUUUUACCCCUACGUGAUCUG
rnacentral:rRNA from 1 species